rnacentral:rRNA from 1 species
AAUGCCCUGCUUCCAGGAAAAGCCUCUAAGCCUCAGGUAACAUCAAAUCGUACCCCAAACCGACACAGGUGGUCAGGUAGAGAAUACCAAGGCGCUUGAGAGAACUCGGGUGAAGGAACUAGGCAAAAUGGUGCCGUAACUUCGGGAGAAGGCACGCUGACACGUAGGUGAAGUGGUUUACCCAUGGAGCUGAAGUCAGUCGAAGAUACCAGCUGGCUGCAACUGUUUAUUAAAAACACAGCACUGUGCAAACACGAAAGUGGACGUAUACGGUGUGACGCCUGCCCGGUGCCGGAAGGUUAAUUGAUGGGGUCAGCGCAAGCGAAGCUCCUGAUCGAAGCCCCGGUAAACGGCGGCCGUAACUAUAACGGUCCUAAGGUAGCGAAAUUCCUUGUCGGGUAAGUUCCGACCUGCACGAAUGGCGUAAUGAUGGCCAGGCUGUCUCCACCCGGGACUCAGUGAAAUUGAACUCGCUGUGAAGAUGCAGUGUACCCGCGGCAAGACGGAAAGACCCCGUGAACCUUUACUAUAGCUUGACACUGAACACUGGUCCUUGAUGUGCAGGAUAGGUGGGAGGCUUUGAAGUGUGGACGCCAGUCUGCAUGGAGCCAUCCUUGAAAUACCACCCUUUAAUGGCUGGUGUUCUAACGUGGGCCCGUGAACCGGGUUGCGGACAGUGUCUGGUGGGUAGUUUGACUGGGGCGGUCUCCUCCUAAAGAGUAACGGAGGAGCACGAAGGUUGGCUAAUCCUGGUCGGACAUCAGGAGGUUAGUGCAAUGGCAUAAGCCAGCUUGACUGCGAGCGUGACGGCGCGAGCAGGUGCGAAAGCAGGUCAUAGUGAUCCGGUGGUUCUGAAUGGAAGGGCCAUCGCUCAACGGAUAAAAGGUACUCCGGGGAUAACAGGCUGAUACCGCCCAAGAGUUCAUAUCGACGGCGGUGUUUGGCACCUCGAUGUCGGCUCAUCACAUCCUGGGGCUGAAGUAGGUCCCAAGGGUAUGGCUGUUCGCCAUUUAAAGUGGUACGCGAGCUGGGUUUAGAACGUCGUGAGACAGUUCGGUCCCUAUCUGCCGUGGGCGCUGGAAGAUUGAGGGGGGCUGCUCCUAGUACGAGAGGACCGGAGUGGACGCAUCACUGGUGUUCGGGUUGUCAUGCCAAUGGCACUGCCCGGUAGCUACAUGCGGAAGAGAUAAGUGCUGAAAGCAUCUAAGCACGAAACUUGCCCCGAGAUGAAUCUUCCCUGAGCCUUUAAGGCUCCUGAAGGAACGUUGAAGACGACGACGUUGAUAGGCCGGGUGUGUAAGCGCAGCGAUGCGUUGAGCUAACCGGUACUAAUGAACCGUGAGGCUUAACCUUACA